CGCCAGACUCCUACGGGAGGCAGCAGUGGGGAAUAUUGCACAAUGGGGGAAACCCUGAUGCAGCGACGCCGCGUGAGUGAAGAAGUAUUUCGGUAUGUAAAGCUCUCUCAGCAGGGAAGAAAAUGACGGUACCUGAUUAAGAAGCCCCAGCUAACUACGUGCCAGCAGCCGCGGUAAUACGUAGGGGGCAAGCGUUAUCCGGAUUUACUGGGUGUAAAGGGAGCGUAGACGGCAGCACAAGUCUGGAGUGAAAUGCCGGGGCUUAACCCCGGAACUGCUCUGGAAACUGUGAAGCUGGAGUGCAGGAGAGGUAAGCGGAAUUCCUAGUGUAGCGGUGAAAUGCGUAGAUAUUAGGAGGAACACCAGUGGCGAAGGCGGCUUUCUGGACUGUAACUGACACUGAGGUACGAAAGCGUGGGGAGCAAACAGGAUUAGAUACCCGUGUAA
rnacentral:rRNA from 1 species